AAUACCGCGGCCCUUUAAAAUUUUUCAGUGGGCAGAUUAGACUUUAAAUUAUAUUCAAAAAGACAUGUUUUUGUUAAACAGGCGAGUAUUUAUUUGCCAAGUUCCUUAAUUUAACCUUUCAAUUUAUUUAUUUUAAACAAUUAAAAUAUACUAAUUUUAUCAUUAUUUUAAUUUUUAUACAAUUUUAAAAAUUAUUUUAAUAAAAACUUAAAUUAAUAAAAAUUAUUUUUAAUUUAAAAUAAAUUAUAACAUUUUUAUAAUUAAUGACUAUUUCUAAAUCUAUAAUUUUUAAAUUAAAAAAUUAUUAUAAACCUUACUUUAAAGCUUAUCCCUUAAAAUAUUAAUUACUAAUAAUAAUUUAUUAUUUAAAUAAUAAAUUAUUUAUUAACAAUCUAAAUUUAAUUUAUUUCUUAAAAAACUAGAUAUAUUUAAGAACGAAUAACAUUUCAUUUCUAAUUUAUUAUUUUAAAUUUUUAUGAAACAAAAAAUUAAAUAAUAGAUUAACCCUCUUAAAUUCGAGAAAAAUUAAAUAUUUAACUUUUAAUUAAUAAACCCUGAUACACAAGGUACAAUAUAUAAAAUUUACUUUUAAUUUAAAACUUUUUCAUAUAUUUCAAUAUUCUUUUACAAUACUAAUUAACUAUUAUAUAAAUUAUUUGAUCUAUAUUCUAUACAAAAAAAAAAUUAAUUUAAAAUUAAUUUUAUUAAAUAAAUUUUUAAACAAAAAAAAUUAAUAAAUUUUUAUUAUCAAAUUAAAUUGAAUUACACAAUAUACUUUUCAAUGUAAAUGAAAUGCUUUAUUUUCAAGCUCUAAUUUGUCUUUCUAGAUACACCUUC
rnacentral:rRNA from 1 species